GGAAGUUUGGGUGAGUGGCUGAAACCACCAGUUUGCUAAACUGACGUACUCGCAAGGGUACCGGGGGUUCGAAUCCCCCAGCUUCCGCAA
rnacentral:tRNA from 5 species